UCAACCUCACCCUUCCUUGCUUUUCCCGCCUAUAUACCACCGUCGUCAGCUUACCCUGUGAAGGUUUUAUAGUAAGCAAAGUUGGCACAGCCUAAAACGUCAGGUCGAGGUGUAGUGCAUGAGAGGGGAAGAAAUGGGCUACAUUCGCUACUAAUAGCGAAUUACGAAUGUUGCAUUGAAACAUGCAGCUGAAGGAGGAUUUAGCAGUAAGCAGAAAGCAGAGCGUCCCGCUGAAACUGGCCCUAAAGCGCGCACACACCGCCCGUCACCCUCCCCAAGCUUCCGGCCCUAAUUAACUAAAACCCUACAACUGCAAAGGAGAGGAAAGUCGUAACAUGGUAAGCGUACCGGAAGGUGCGCUUGGAAAAAU
rnacentral:rRNA from 1 species